ensembl:lncRNA
GAGGAAAAACAACCCAUUAAAACAUAGCCUGUACUUCUGCAGCAGCACAGGGAAAGAGGAGCCAACUUGGGAGCAAACACUUUUUUUGCUUUGUGUGAGCACUUGAAGGGGUGAUGGUGCAGCAGUGUGUUCCCAUUCUUUUCCAGGACAAAACUGGAUUUCAUAGCUGGGAAGAAACAAACAGCAGCCACGGCUGGGAGGGAGACAGGGCAGGAGGACUGGGAAGGAAGGAGCAGGGAAGGGACCAACCUGCCCAUGGGAAGGAGCCAUCAGGGAAAAGAUGACUUUGCCUUGAUAGCCAAGGUCAAGCUGUCAGACAACCACAAUCUGUUAUAUAAAACUGAUGCAGCUGUUCUAAGGCUUUGAGCAUGCCCGUGCUCCUCAAUUUAUUUUCAUUCCCCAGGGGCAGUGAUACGUGUGCUCUCUACCCCUCAGAUGUGUGAAGUGAAAUGAAUUUCUGCUCACUGCAGUGCGAAUCUGGAGGGCUCUGACUGAGGCAGAGGAAGGGAAUGGAUCUCAGGAUAGUUUUAGAGAUAAGUUUGCUGUAAGGACAGGGGUGGGAGCUCUGCUGCAUGGGCUGAAUGGGGGUCCCACCACAUAUGGCUGGGAGGGAGCUGGUUUGCAGUUCUCUCACUCCCUUGCUAAGAUUUACAUCUUUGGAGUCUCUCAGGAGGUGACUGCAAACCUCAGAGUGGUGUUGAAGCUGUAGUUUUGCUGUUUCAGUCUACAUGAGUUUCAGAAGCAGCCUUCUACCUAAGCAAGUAUUUUGGUAUUGAAUUAAUUAGCAGUUCUCUUACCACAGCACUUUCAGAGGAACUGCAUCCCACACCUGCACCCCUUCAACUUUUCAGCCUGCAGCCCCAGCCAGUUUCUCAGCCAGGCUUGGAGGGUGCCAGCACCACUUGCCCUGAGCCCAAGUCCUGCCUGCUGUGAUCUGUCUUUGCAGAGUAAUCCCCGCAAUGACCUUGCUGAAUGAUCUCACUGCAGAACCUGGUGCUCAGUCAGCUUCUGCAAAGCUGCUGGGCUGCUCUGGCCCUGGGGACAGGCUGGGUUUGCAGUGGGCAGCUGGGGGUGCUGACAGGGUGCUCACAUGUUGUGCAGUGGAGCAAGAAGGACAUCACAGCACCCAUUCCCUGCUUGGUUCUAGUGUUCCUUCUGGCUGUGCAAACCAAAAUAGAAGAGAGGCUGAUGGCCACUGCCUUCAGUCUGGAGUAACACCAGUUUGCAGCUUUAUCCUGGGGUACCUGCAUGGUCCUUUUCGCUGCUGAAGGGCCCGUGGCGCACAGAAGUUGUGCUCAGCAGGGACGGUGACACCAUCCACCCACACCUUCCUGUGUUUCACAUCUCAGGCAGUUUCUCGCCCAAAUUAAAUCAAGUUGGAAGUUAUGGCACCAAAGGAAGAGAUUUUCUGUGCAAACCCCAUUUAGUCAUGAAAUCUUACAUUCCUGAGGCUGUAAGUGACAGAAGGAUGCAGCUGCUGUCCUGGCUCUGUAUUCCCUAGAAAACUAGGUUACAUUUGUAAAUAAAUUUGCUUCUAUUUGUAUUUUGUAUCUACCA